AGAGAAUAGAUACCCAGGUAGUCCCAGCUGUAAACGAUGCAGGCUAGGUGUUUGGACGGCCACGUGCCGUUCUAGUGCCGCAGGGAAGCUGUUAAGCCUGCCGCCUGGGGAGUACGAUCGCAAGAUUGAAACUUAAAGGAAUUGGCGGGGGAGCACCACAAGGGGUGAAAGCUUGCGGUUUAAUUGGAGUCAACGCCGGAAAUCUCACCGGGAGCGACAGCAGUGUGAAGGCCAGAUUAAAGGUCUUGCCAGACGAGCUGAGAGGAGGUGCAUGGCCGUCGCCAGUUCGUGCCGUGAGGUGUCCUGUUAAGUCAGGCAACGAUCGAGACCCGCAUCCUCUGUUGCAACCAGCUUUGGGCUGGGCACACUGAGGAGACCGCCACUGAUAAAGUGGAGGAAGGAGCGGGCCACGGCAGGUCAGUAUGCCCCGAAUCUCCCGGGCCACACGCGAGCUGCAAUGGCAGGUACAAUGGGUUCCGACCUCGAAAGGGGAAGGCAAUCUCGAAAGCCUGCCGUAGUUGGGAUC
rnacentral:rRNA from 1 species